CCAUUAAGCAUAGAAGAACAAUUUAAACAACCAAGCAUGUAUCUAAUCCCUGUUGUCGAAUGUCCAUACAUACUUUUCUUAUUCACAGUUCAAUUCAAAUCAAAGCAUGGUGUCUACUCUUGAUUCAAACCAAGGUAGCUAAUAUACAAGUUCUAAUGGUGAUCAAUCAUCCAAACAAGCAUAUUAACUGAUAAGCAUAAAGAAUAGGAAUAUGAAUCAUGAAUCAAACUUGAAACUCAAAACUUCAACUUAUAAACCCAGAAUAUUCAUGUUAGGUUACAUCAUAGCCCUAGUUAUGAAUUUAGCUACUCAUAAUGGAAAUGAAACUUAAGCAAAAAUGAGAAAACAUAUUGAAUGCAAUAAGAGUAGAGAAACCCAAUUCUGAAGUUGCUUGUGGUUUCCAAGGCUUUUCCAGGUGCUUCUCCACGUCUAAUGCUACUCCAAGAACUUUCUCAUGUCUAGAGUAUGGCAACUAAAGAGGUGAUUUGGGAUGAGUUUGGGUGGUUGGUGAUGGCAGAGAAAGAACAAAUUCGUAGGAAAUGGAAGGAAGGCUUGUUGGAGUUCUUCCCCAUGAUUUUGGGCUGAAUCAAGUGAUAUAAGAUGGCUGGAGUGAAUUCUUGGUCAAUAGAGUGACUCCUUUGCACUUGAGUAGCUGACACACCUCCCUAAAUUGCUCAACAUGUCAGGUCUAAAGUCAAGGAAAGCUGUGGUGAGUCACAUGGCUCAAAGAAAGUAUCCAAGGCUCAAAGAAAGUAUCCAAGGCUCAACAACUGGAAACUGCAAUCCUGAGCCUGGUGUGUAUAUGGGCUCACGAAUUGGGCUCAACUUCAUUAUCUGAUGCAUUUGAGUAGUCCAUCUUGAAGUUCAGACUCUCAUCUUUCCAACUACAUAUUAGUUGGGCCAAUCCAAGUUCGGAGAAAGAUGUUAAGCCCAAAAUGAGUUGCUAACCCAGUCUGCUCGUUUUUGCACCAUUUUGCAUCUUUUCUUAUCCAAAGACACCAUUGCUACCUAAGGCCCAAUGAACUGAAUGAUAAACAGAAAAGGGAUUAAAAGCACACGUUUGACUCAAUAACAUAACCAAAUCAUAAGCUAGAAGGGUACAAAAUGAUAUACAAUUGUGAACUGAUCAAAUACCCCCAGACCUAGAUUUUGCUAGUCCUCGAGCAAAACAAAAGAGAAUAAAGUUGAAAACAAAACAAGAAGUUAACUAAACCACUUCUGUAGGUAACUCGAUUGCAAUGUGCAUAUGCAACAAGCCUUUAAACCUCUCGGCAUCCCUAAUCGGAAGAGUUGUGUCUCCUGAGGGUUUAACAGAAACGAUACCCACAAACACUUUACUGACUCUCUAACACCAAAAGGUUAGAAAACUAACUUUGAAAACAACUAAUGAAAGAAAACAUUAAUCAUGCAUCCAACACCAUAGAGUUACCAAGAUAGAUGAUCAAUAAGUGUGUAAAGUGGAAGCUAUAGCUCAAAGGCACACGGCUUCAAAGUAAACAUACUCAAAUCUUGAAGGAAGAACAUGCUUCAACUCUAAUUCUCACAUCUAGCACUCCAUCACUCAGAACCUAUGGUUUUAUUCUCUCAAACAAGCAUAAGUGAGUAUAUGAAAUAGAAGCACAAUAUUUGGUUAGAUCUCAUGAAGGGAAUCAAAUACUAAGAGUAGAGAUACACACAUACAUACCAGCACCCAUGAAUACAUCCUCAAAGAUCAGCUAGGUCUUUCACAAGGUUGUAAUGAAAGGCUAAGGUUAAGGGAAGUGGAAGAAUUGGAAGGAACAUAACUAACUUAAGAACAUACCAAGGUUGCAUUCUUCAUUGAUCUGCAAGGUAUCAUUGAUUUAGAAUGGUAUGGCUGCAACUUCAUAGCAUCAUCUGGCAUAGACUUUAUAUUUCACAUUUAGAUCAAAUCGAAACACUUUCUCUUUAUCUUUUUUUUUUUUUUUUUUUUUUUGACUUGAUCUACUUCUUCUUUAACUUUAUUGCAUAGAUUCACACCAAUUUACAUUUGGGCAUGUGGCAGCAAUUUACAUUUGGGCAUGUGGCAACAACCUCCUUGCUUCAAACUUUAUCUUGGCACACCUUGGUAUAUUUCUAAGCUAUAGGGUAUGGCUAUAAUAGGUUAAAUAUCUCUGAUUGAGAUACAAAGUUAGGGGAAUUAUGAGGGUGAUAGAAGAAAAAGGCUUGUAGUGUUUGGCUGCAAGAGAGCUGAUGGAACACACGAAUGGGUAGGGUGAAAAGAAAGCACAGAAAAUGGUUAUACACGCAGAGCCUAGCAUCACUUCAAUGAGUUCAUUCAUGGGUGAGAGCACGCACCUAAUAUCUGCAAAGAGAAUCAUCCUUAGUAUUCAACCAAAAUGGAACAAUGAGAUCAUUUAGAGUGAAUUGAAGAAAAUAAGUAGAGAUGAGGAAUAGAAACACUUUAAACCCUCUCAAGAAAGCAAUUAGGCUCGAAAUAGCUCACUAGGGUAGUCUCCACUAUUCUCCUUCAAGAAUCUGAGCAUGAUACUUUAGCCACCAGAAUUCUAAGAGCAAAAGCUUUGUGAAGUGUAAAAUUUCUGAUAUGAAAAUCUCAAUGGCAGCUCCAUAGCAUUGGUUGUAUGAAAUUUUUUUUAAAAUAAAAAAAAUAGUGACAAGCGAACGAAAAUUGUAAACACAAAUGAACAAAAAUUGAAAACCUCCCCCCAAGACCUGAAUUGAACAUUGUCCUCAAUGUUAAAGCAUAACAAAGAUGAGUGAGAACAUGUGAAUAAUAAGGGGAAAGUUUAAGACAAAGUAUUAGAGAAACUCCCUCUUGAUGCGAUUAGGUUGACCGCUACCAAGCACCUUAUUCUUCAACACAUGGGUUGCCUCCCAAGAAGCGCCUUAGUUAAUGUCUUGGCAAGACAUUAUGCCAUUAGCUAACUUGAUUGUACGAAGGGAAGAUGAUCCACCACAUGACCAGUUUGAAUUCCAACUGACACUCCCUCAUAGAAUGGCUUUAAACGUUGUCCAUUUACUUUGAAAGUCGAGCCAUCUUUAGGAUUUUGAAUCUCCACAGCUCCAUAGGGAGAUACAUUGACCACGGUGAAUGGGCCAAGCCACCUAGACUUCAAUUUUCCUGGAAAGAGACGCAAACGUGAGUUAAACAAAAGAACUGACAUACCUUUGGUGAAUUCUUUCCGUUGAAUGUUCCUGUCAUGGUAACUCUUGGUACGUUCUUUGUAUAGCUUUGCAUUCUCAUAGGACUCAUGUCGAAUUUCUUCCAAUUCAUUGAGCUGAAACUUUCUAACAUGGCCGGCCUUGUCCAGAUCAAAAUUCAACUUCUUGAUGGCCCAAAAAGCAUUGUGUUCAAGCUCCAUUGGCAAGUGACAGGCUUUCCCAAACACAAGACGAUAAGGGCUCAUUCCGAUGGGAGUCUUAUAUGCAGUCCUAUAAGCCCAGAAUGCAUCAUUGAGCUUGGCAGCCCAAUCUUUCCUUGUACUAUUCACCACCUUCUCUAGGAUCUGCUUAAUUUCUCUGUUGCUUAUUUCUACUUGACCAGAAGUUUGAGGAUGAUAUGGUGUAGAGACUCGGUGGGUGAUAUUGUACUUCUUCAUGAGUGCUUCAAAUAGCUUGUUGCAGAAGUGGCUGCCUCCAUCACUAAUGACAGCCCUUGGAGUACCAAACCUUGUGAAAAUAUUGUCCCUCAAGAACUUCAGGACCACCUUAUGAUCAUUGGUAUCAACAGCAACAAGUAUGUAGGUAUAACCAAAGGAAGAUGGGAAUGGUCCCAUGAAAUCAAUACCCCAUACAUCGAAGAGUUCCACAAAGAGUAUGUUCUUCAAUGGCAGUUCGUUCCUGCGGCUUAUGUUUCCCAUCCUUUGACACCUAUCACACUUAACACAAAAAUUAAAUGCAUCUUUGAAUAGAGUAGGCCAAAAGAAACCUGAUUGCAAAAUUUUAAGUGCUGUUUUCUUGGCUCCAAAGUGGCCUCCACAAGCCAAUUUGUGGCUAUGCCUAAGGAUGCUUUCUUGUUCUUCUUCUGGAACACAUCUUCUAAUGAGUUGAUCUGGGCAAUGCUUGAAUAAGAAAGGUUCAUCCCAGACAUAAUGUUUCACCAUGGAAAAGAAACCCAAUUCUGAAGUUGCUUGUGGUUUCCAAGGCUUCUCCACGUGCUUCUUCACGUCUAAUGCUACUCCAAGAACUUUCUCAUGUCUAGAGUAUGGCAACUAAAGAGGUGAUUUGGGAUGAGUUUGGGUGGUUGGUGAUGGCAGAGAAAGAACAAAUUCGUAGGAAAUGGAAGGAAGGCUUGUUGGAGUUCUUCCCCAUGAUUUUGGGCUGAAUCAAGUGAUAUAGGAUGGCUGGAGUGAAUUCUUAGUCAAUGGAGUGACUCCUUUGCACUUGAGUAGCUGACACACCUCCCUAAAUUGCUCAACAUGUCAGGUCUAAAGUCAAGGAAAGCUGUGGUGAGUCACAUGGCUCAAAGAAAGUAUCCAAGGCUCAACAACUGGAAACUGCAAUCCUGAGCCUGGUGUGUAUAUGGGCUCACGAAUUGGGCUCAACUUCAUUAUCUGAUGCAUUUGAGUAGUCCAUCUUGAAGUUCAGACUCUCAUCUUUCCAACUACAUAUUAUUUGGGCCAAUCCAAGUUCGGAGAAAGAUGUUAAGGCCGAAAUGAUUUGCUAACCCAGUCUGCUCGUUUUUGCACCAUUUUGCAUCUUUUCUUAUCCAAAGACACCAUUGCUACCUAAGGCCCAAUGAACUGAAUGAUAAACAGAAAAGGGAUUAAAAGCACACGUUUGACUCAAUAACAUAACCAAAUCAUAAGCUAGAAGGGUACAAAAUGAUAUACAAUUGUGAACUGAUCAAAU
rnacentral:lncRNA from 1 species